rnacentral:ncRNA from 1 species
GUGUAAGUAUGAACUAAUUCUGACUGUGAAAUUGCGAAUGGCUCAUUAAAUCAGUUAUAGUUUGUUUGAUGGUACCUGCUACUUGGAUAACAGUGGUAAUUCUAGAGCUAAUACGUGCAAGAAAUCCCGACCUCUAGAAGGGAUGCAUUUAUUAGAUAAAAGGCUAGUCAUAUUCAUAAGGCCCACAUUAGAGGUUGUUAUUCGCAGGGAAAUAUUAUAGGAUUUGGUGUGCACUUGCGCCGCUGGUAGCGGCACGAUGCACAUGUCGGG